AGCGGAGGAAAAGAAACCAACAGGGAUUGCCCCAGUAACGGCGAGUGAAGCGGCAACAGCUCAAAUUUGAAAUCUGGCCCCCCGGCCCGAGUUGUAAUUUGCAGAGGAUGCUUUUGGUGAGGCACCUACCGAGUCCCCUGGAAUGGGGCGCCAUAGAGGGUGAGAGCCCCGUAUGGUAGGACGCCGAACCUCUGUAAAGCUCCUUCGACGAGUCGAGUAGUUUGGGAAUGCUGCUCUAAAUGGGAGGUAAAUUUCUUCUAAAGCUAAAUACCGGCCAGAGACCGAUAGCGCACAAGUAGAGUGAUCGAAAGAUGAAAAGCACUUUGAAAAGAGGGUUAAAAAGUACGUGAAAUUGUUGAAAGGGAAGCGCUUGUGACCAGACUUGCGCCGGGCGGAUCAUCCAGCGUUCUCGCUGGUGCACUCCGCCCGGUUCAGGCCAGCAUCGGUUUUCGCCGGGGGACAAAGGCUUCGGGAACGUGGCUCCUUUCGGGGAGUGUUAUAGCCCGUUGCGUAAUACCCCGGCGGGGACCGACGACCGCGCUUCGGCAAGGAUGCUGGCGUAAUGGUCAUCAGCGACCCGUCUUGAAACACGGACCGAGGAGUCAAGCAUUAGUGCGAGUGUUUGGGUGUAAAACCCGCACGCGUAAUGAAAGUGAACGUAGGUGAGAGCUUCGGCGCAUCAUCGACCGAUCCUGAUGUUUUCGGAAGGAUUUGAGUAGGAGCAUUAACGCUUGGACCCGAAAGAUGGUGAACUAUACUUGAAUAGGGUGAAGCCAGAGGAAACUCUGGUGGAGGCUCGCAGCGGUUCUGACGUGCAAAUCGAUCGUCAAAUUUGAGUAUAGGGGCGAAAGACUAAUCGAACCAUCUAGUAGCUGGUUUCAGCCGAA
rnacentral:rRNA from 1 species